GUGGAAACGCGACAGGUUCAUGAAUUAUCCAUCAAGGUUUUAUCCAGCCCGCUCUCCCAUCAGCCACCUGCUGGGAUAUCUUCAUGCCCCCAGUGAGUUGACUCCUCAGAAGCUUGUUUGCCGGGCACCUCUGCUUUGAGUUGGUUCAUCAAUCCUUGGCCCAGCUCUGCUUCUUUCCCUUGUAGCAGUCCUUUUCUUAGGGAGUGUGACGCCCUGAAUGCACACACUGCUCUAAUCCUGAGAAAUACACUGCCUCUUCCUGGCACUCAGCAUUAUGUGCUGCACAGGCUCAGCCACACUUCCCUCAGCUCACAGUAAAGCUCCCAACACCUAAAGCACACACCUACCAACACACAGACAUUCCUAACCUAGCUUGAAAGAUAAAUGCAUGGGGGCAUAUCCAGUCCAGAGCAGCCCAGGCCACCCUUUUGUACACUACAUCAUCCCUAUCCUCCCUGGGGCCACCGCAUUUCCAGGGAGCAAGUGGGGCACAGAUUGGGGGAGGGGGGAUAGAUGGGACCUGGGUGGUUACCAUAGCAAUAGAGCCUAGCAACAGCUGAGAGGCUGAUGUGUGGGUUUUCACAGGGCUGUUACAAGAGCCAAACCUAGAAAUUGGGGACUGAGAGGUGACUGAUCCCAGCUGGGCAGCCUGCAUUCCCUCCCCAAAAACACCCCUUGAUCCCACCCCCACACCCCUGCAGUGCCUCUCUCUGAGA
rnacentral:lncRNA from 1 species